GACGGACGCUGUCGGCGUGCUUAACACAUGCAAGUCGAACGGAAAGGCCCUGCUUUUGUGGGGUGCUCGAGUGGCGAACGGGUGAGUAACACGUGAGUAACCUGCCCUUGACUUUGGGAUAACUUCAGGAAACUGGGGCUAAUACCGGAUAGGAGCUCCUGCUGCAUGGUGGGGGUUGGAAAGUUUCGGCGGUUGGGGAUGGACUCGCGGCUUAUCAGCUUGUUGGUGGGGUAGUGGCUUACCAAGGCUUUGACGGGUAGCCGGCCUGAGAGGGUGACCGGCCACAUUGGGACUGAGAUACGGCCCAGACUCCUACGGGAGGCAGCAGUGGGGAAUAUUGCACAAUGGGCGGAAGCCUGAUGCAGCAACGCCGCGUGCGGGAUGACGGCCUUCGGGUUGUAAACCGCUUUCGCCUGUGACGAAGCGUGAGUGACGGUAAUGGGUAAAGAAGCACCGGCUAACUACGUGCCAGCAGCCGCGGUGAUACGUAGGGUGCGAGCGUUGUCCGGAUUUAUUGGGCGUAAAGGGCUCGUAGGUGGUUGAUCGCGUCGGAAGUGUAAUCUUGGGGCUUAACCCUGAGCGUGCUUUCGAUACGGGUUGACUUGAGGAAGGUAGGGGAGAAUGGAAUUCCUGGUGGAGCGGUGGAAUGCGCAGAUAUCAGGAGGAACACCAGUGGCGAAGGCGGUUCUCUGGGCCUUUCCUGACGCUGAGGAGCGAAAGCGUGGGGAGCGAACAGGCUUAGAUACCCUGGUAGUCCACGCUGUAAACGGUGGGUACUAGGUGUGGGGUCCAUUCCACGGGUUCCGUGCCGUAGCUAACGCUUUAAGUACCCCGCCUGGGGAGUACGGCCGCAAGGCUAAAACUCAAAGGACUUGACGGGGCCCCGCACAAGCGGCGGAGCAUGCGGAUUAAUUCGAUGCAACGCGUAGAACCUUACCUGGGUUUGACAUGGAUCGGGAGUGCUCAGAGAUGGGUGUGCCUCUUUUGGGGUCGGUUCACAGGUGGUGCAUGGCUGUCGUCAGCUCGUGUCGUGAGAUGUUGGGUUAAGUCCCGCAACGAGCGCAACCCUUGUUCACUGUUGCCAGCACGUUAUGGUGGGGACUCAGUGGAGACCGCCGGGGUCAACUCGGAGGAAGGUGGGGAUGACGUCAAGUCAUCAUGCCCCUUAUGUCCAGGGCUUCACGCAUGCUACAAUGGCUGGUACAGAGAGUGGCGAGCCUGUGAGGGUGAGCGAAUCUCGGAAAGCCGGUCUCAGUUCGGAUUGGGGUCUGCAACUCGACCUCAUGAAGUCGGAGUCGCUAGUAAUCGCAGAUCAGCAACGCUGCGGUGAAUACGUUCCCGGGGCU
rnacentral:rRNA from 1 species